rnacentral:rRNA from 1 species
AUGGGUUCAGAAGAGGACAUACGUGGAAAAACGGUGAAAAGAAAGGGACCGAGGCUUCAGCUGACUAGCCUGCCAACGGUGCCCGUGGGAUUCAAGGGUUUUCAGAACCUUAAAUCGACUUACCUAGCAGACACAAAUAUUACUGAUGAUGGUCUUCAACAUUUGAUGUCCAACUGCAGUGUUCUAGAGUUCCUUGGAAUUGCAGGUUGUGCAAUGCUUACAACGUUGCAAAUAUCUCAUCCUUCAAACACACUUAAGCAUUUGCAUGUAUAUGACUGCUGUUUGCUUCAAGGGAUGGAGUUAAACUUUGGUCUGGUAAGACUUGAGUACAGAGGUCUGCCGAUUGUGUUAUCGCCUCCUGGAACCUUGCUUCUAACAAAUAUGUGCAUAAAGUUGGAGGGUAUUUGUACUUCUCUUGAAUACAUCUUCACCAAACUUCGUGAUAAUGUGCCUCGUCUCGAGGUUCUGAAUCUAAAAUGCCAGGAGUAUAAGAUGACUACAUUGCCAGGAAAGCUGCAUGAGUUUGUUUAUUUGAAGCACCUGAUAUUGGAGUUAACUUUUGAGAGCUGUCAGAGAGGGAAGACUGAUAUCCUUCAAUUUGCCUGCCUUCUGGUUGCUGCUCCUUCCUUAGAAAAGCUUGAAUUUCAUAUGUGGCUGCGCUGGGGUCGGGAACGGUAUAGAGCCGAGGACGGGAGUCUCCGGAGCCUUCCUUCCCAGCCACACUCCCAUCUCAGGUCGGUCGAUAUCACGGGGUUUUACGGCGAGAAGGACCGGCUGGAGCUUGUGCUCCACAUCCUCAGAGAUUCCGUUGCGCUGGAGUCGAUGAAGGUAGAUCCAAGCCCUGUGGUUGCUGCUGAUGUUAACCGACUUGGGGGACUGGGGAGCAUGCAUGUUCCUCAUUUUGUGGAUGGCUAUGAAGUCGCCCUUGAGUUCCUCUGCAGCAGAGACCGUCGCAAUGUUGUCCAUGGCGCGAGCCCCGAUAUCAUCGAGAGGGCCCGACGUGGGUCUUCCCCCCUGAGUCCACGCAACAGUAGUGCAAAGGCAUCCUGGCAACGUGUGAAGAGGGUGAAGCGAUUGUCGCGGCCUUCCUCCAGCCGAGGAGCUUCCUGA